GACGAACGCUGGCGGCGUGCCUAAUACAUGCAAGUUGAGCGCUGAAGGUUGGUACUUGUACCAACUGGAUGAGCAGCGAACGGGUGAGUAACGCGUGGGGAAUCUGCCUUUGAGCGGGGGACAACAUUUGGAAACGAAUGCUAAUACCGCAUAAAAACUUUAAACACAAGUUUUAAGUUUGAAAGAUGCAAUUGCAUCACUCAAAGAUGAUCCCGCGUUGUAUUAGCUAGUUGGUGAGGUAAAGGCUCACCAAGGCGAUGAUACAUAGCCGACCUGAGAGGGUGAUCGGCCACAUUGGGACUGGGACACGGCCCAAACUCCUACGGGAGGCAGCAGUAGGGAAUCUUCGGCAAUGGACGAAAGGCUGAACGAGCAACGCCGCGUGAGUGAAGAAGGGUUUCGGAUCGUAAAACUCUGUUGGUAGAGAAGAACGUUGGUGAGAGUGGAAAGCUCAUCAAGUGACGGUAACUACCCAGAAAGGGACGGCUAACUACGUG
rnacentral:rRNA from 1 species